CCUACGGGAGGCAGCAGUGGGGAAUAUUGGACAAUGGGCGAAAGCCUGAUCCAGCCAUGCCGCGUGUGUGAAGAAGGUCUUCGGAUUGUAAAGCACUUUAAGUUGGGAGGAAGGGCAGUUACCUAAUACGUGAUUGUUUUGACGUUACCGACAGAAUAAGCACCGGCUAACUCUGUGCCAGCAGCCGCGGUAAUACAGAGGGUGCAAGCGUUAAUCGGAAUUACUGGGCGUAAAGCGCGCGUAGGUGGUUAGUUAAGUUGGAUGUAAAAUCCCCGGGCUCAACCUGGGAACUGCAUUCAAAACUGACUGACUAGAGUAUGGUAGAGGGUGGUGGAAUUUCCGGUGUAGCGGUAAAAUGCGUAGAUAUAGGAAGGAACACCAGUGGCGAGGGCGACCACCGGGACUGAAACUGACACUGAGGUGCGAAAGCGUGGGAAGCAAACAGGAUUAGAUACCCUUGUAGU
rnacentral:rRNA from 1 species